UUGGACUCAUGCACCCCAGGGGUGAGAUCACC
rnacentral:piRNA from 1 species